AUUGAACGCUGGCGGGAUGCUUUACACAUGCAAGUCGAACGGCAGCAUAGGUGCUUGCACCUGAUGGCGAGUGGCGAACGGGUGAGUAAUACAUCGGAACGUGCCCAGUCGUGGGGGAUAACGUAGCGAAAGUUACGCUAAUACCGCAUACGAUCUAAGGAUGAAAGCGGGGGACCGUAAGGCCUCGCGCGAUUGGAGCGGCCGAUGUCAGAUUAGGUAGUUGGUGAGGUAAAGGCUCACCAAGCCGACGAUCUGUAGCUGGUCGGAGAGGACGCCCAGCCACACUGGGACUGCGACAAGGCCCAAACUCCUACGGGAGGCAGCAGUGGGGAAUUUUGGACAAUGGACGCAAGUCUGAUCCAGCCAUUCCGCGUGCAGGACGAAGGCCUUCGGGUUGUAAACUGCUUUUGUACGGAACGAAAAAGCUCUUACUAAUACUAGGAGUCCAUGACGGUACCGUAAGAAUAAGCACCGGCUAACUACGUGCCAGCCGCCGCCGUAA
rnacentral:rRNA from 1 species